GUAACAAGGUUUCCGUAGGUGAACCUGCGGAAGGAUCAUUACCGAGUGCGGGCCCUCUGGGUCCAACCUCCCAUCCGUGUCUAUCUGUACCCUGUUGCUUCGGCGUGGCCACGGCCCGCCGGAGACUAACAUUUGAACGCUGUCUGAAGUUUGCAGUCUGAGUUUUUAGUUAAACAAUCGUUAAAACUUUCAACAACGGAUCUCUUGGUUCCGGCAUCGAUGAAGAACGCAGCGAAAUGCGAUAAUUAAUGUGAAUUGCAGAAUUCAGUGAAUCAUCGAGUCUUUGAACGCACAUUGCGCCCCCUGGUAUUCCGGGGGGCAUGCCUGUCCGAGCGUCAUUGCUGCCCUCAAGCACGGCUUGUGUGUUGGGCUUCCGUCCCUGGCAACGGGGACGGGCCCAAAAGGCAGUGGCGGCACCAUGUCUGGUCCUCGAGCGUAUGGGGCUUUGUCACCCGCUCCCGUAGGUCCAGCUGGCAGCUAGCCUCGCAACCAAUCUUUUUAACCAGGUUGACCUCGGAUCAGGUAGGGAUACCCGCUGAACUUAAGCAUAUCA
rnacentral:misc_RNA from 1 species